AACGAACGCUGGCGGCAUGCCUAACACAUGCAAGUCGAACGAGACCUUCGGGUCUAGUGGCGCACGGGUGCGUAACGCGUGGGAACCUGCCCUUAGGUUCGGAACAACUCCCCGAAAGGGGUGCUAAUACCGGAUAAUGUCUUCGGACCAAAGAUUUAUCGCCUUUGGAUGGGCCCGCGUUGGAUUAGCUAGUUGGUAGGGUAAAAGCCUACCAAGGCGACGAUCCAUAGCUGGUCUGAGAGGAUGAUCAGCCACACUGGGACUGAGACACGGCCCAGACUCCUACGGGAGGCAGCAGUGGGGAAUAUUGGACAAUGGGCGAAAGACUGAUCCAGCAAUGCCGCGUGAGUGAUGAAGGCCUUAGGGUUGUAAAGCUCUUUUACCCGGGAUGAUAAUGACAGUACCGGGAGAAUAAGCUCCGGCUAACUCCGUG
rnacentral:rRNA from 1 species